AUGACUGAUAUUGGUCGUGAAUCAGAAGCAUUGAAUUACCAGAUUGCCGUUGUAUCUCCAAAACGACCAAAUGAAGAUAUAAGCCCUAACCCAAAGAAAAAGAAAAGAAAGAAAAAGAAGAAAAAAGCAAGUGUUGCAGGAGGCCCUUCGUCUCUGACCUCUGAUCUCUCUGAUAUAUCUUUGAAUGAUAAAGAGAAGAAAAUAGAGGAAGACCAAUCUUUUGAGAGUGAUGGCUCUUACUGCACUGUAGAUGACAUGCCUAAACCAGCUGAAUCGUCCUCUCAUCUGAGCCCACCAGAGAAUGAAUCCACUGGGGCAACACAACUCAACACAACUUUACCCCAUGCUGGUGUAGAUCAGUCUGUUGAACAGUCAAAUAGUAGCAAGGAGAGUUGUGUAGCACCUGAAAUGUUAAAAUCAUCUAAGUUAAAUUUGAUCCAAGAGUCAAUCAGCACUAGUACUGCCAAUGAUUCUCCAGCAGUGUCAGUGGGAGCAGAUCAGACAGCUGAAAAAAACAAAACUAAACCUAAGAAUAAGGGUCAAAAGAGCAUGUCCACAAGAGCACAGACAACUCUAGAUCAGAGUGCUAAUAUGGGAAAGAAUGCAAACCUAAAAAGCAGCACAGGCAAUCAAAAGGAAACAGAUCCUCGGGGCAUGGAACCACUGAAGAAUUACAGUUCCAGUGGAGAUUCAGUGAUGAAGGUUGAACACAGUGAGAAGCAGCAGUCUGCUCAUGCUAACCAGAUGAAUCCAGAAUUCAAAAAAGUCAAUGAAAGCGGCAUUACAGAAACCAAUAAGGACAACCAAAAAAAGUAUGCCAAAUCUUUUGUUGAAUUUUUGAUAAAGGUUGCUUCUUUUUUAGACCAGGUUGCUCAUGCCAUUUGUUCAUUAAAAUGCAAAUAAAACAUUUUGUCUUUUAAAAUAACAGAAAUCAGAAUGAGGAACCACAGAAAUCAUCACAGGACAUGGUAUUUGGCCCACAAAGUAAAUUAAAGGUAUAAUUUAUAUAAACCCAAAUGCUGGUUGAUAUAUUAGGAAAACGGUCUGUGAACAUUUUUUUUUUUUUGAUAUUGAAAACAGAAACA
ensembl:lncRNA